AGUGGCGCACGGGUGAGUAACGCGUGGGAACCUGCCCGGUGGUGCGGAAUAACUCCGGGAAACUGCAGCUAAUACCGUAUGUGCCCUGAGGGGCAAAGAUUUAUCGCCAUGGGAUGGGCCCGCGUAGGAUUAGCUAGUUGGUGGGGUAAAGGCCUACCAAGGCGACGAUCCGUACCUGGUCUGAGAGGAUGAUCAGCCACACUGGGACUGAGACACGGUCCAGACUCCUACGGGAGGCAGCAGUGGGGAAUAUUGGACAAUGGGGGCAAGCCUGAUCCAGCCAUGCCGCGUGUGUGAAGAAGGUCUUCGGAUUGUAAAGCACUUUAAGUUGGGAGGAAGGGCAGUAAGUUAAUACCUUGCUGUUUUGACGUUA
rnacentral:rRNA from 1 species